GACGAACGCUGGCGGCGUGCUUAACACAUGCAAGUCGAGCGGAAAGGCUCCUUCGGGGGUACUCGAGCGGCGAACGGGUGAGUAACACGUGAGUAAUCUGCCCUUGGCUUUGGGAUAACUACCGGAAACGGUGGCUAAUACCGGAUACGACCACUCCUUGCAGGAGGUGGUGGUGGAAAGUUUUUUCGGCCAGGGAUGUGCUCGCGGCCUAUCAGCUUGUUGGUGGGGUAAUGGCCUACCAAGGCUUCGACGGGUAGCCGGCCUGAGAGGGUGACCGGCCACACUGGGACUGAGACACGGCCCUGACUCCUACGGGAGGCAGCAGUGGGGAAUAUUGGACAAUGGGCGGAAGCCUGAUCCAGCAACGCCGCGUGAGGGAUGACGGCCUCGGUGUAGCUCUUCUAGUACCGACGAAGACGCCGACUGAUGGUGGUGACGGUAGGUACGAGAAGAAGACACGGCCAACUACGUAGCCAGCAGCCGCGGUAA
rnacentral:rRNA from 1 species